rnacentral:ncRNA from 1 species
AUUGUCCACUAGGGGUACCUUGAAAUAGAUGAUAACAUCUAUGGAAGAAAGGUUGAGAUUAAAGUGAAACUUUAAGACCCUUGGAACCUGAUCUGGUUGAUACCAGCGGAGGGAAGUGGAGUAGCGGAUAC